CGGCCGGUGAGGGUACCAUUGUCAUAACAUAGCUGGGAGAGGGUGAGGCUAUAGCCAGGCAGCUGGGUUUCUGGGCGCAUGGUGCCUCAGCCUGAACAAGGACUUGCCGCCUGACCCUGGACCGACCCCCACCCUCCAACACUUUCCAGCCGUUCUUCCGAGAGGGAAAGGGAUUCUCGCUGUCUCUGGCGACUUCCAGGGGGCCUGGGGUCUGUGGGGAAGGGGAAAACUACUUGGAGAGGGUGAUAUACGCUCCAAGUGAAGCUCGGAGUGAAGUUCACCGAGUGAUAUACGCUCCAAGUGAAGUUCGGAACUUUCAUUCUCCAAGUGAAGAGACGGGGCUGUCUUCCGUGAGUUAGGCUCUCGUGGUGGCGGGGCCACCUAUACUCUGAGAGGCUGCCUGUCGCGUAGGCACGGCGUGACUGGUGACAGGCCCCCAAGGGGUGGGUGCAGGUCAGGCUGGGUGGGGCAAGCUCCCAGUGGCCAGCUGGGCAGGUUCCAGCUGAGCUGGGGCCCUCGGUGGAAUGGCCUGGCUUCAGGGCACAAGUGAGCCACCAAUGGGUGGCAUUCCACAGAUGGGCGGCAUUCUGGACCAUGAAGUUCACAGGAGUCAAAGGUCCAGGGUCGGGGGUUGGGGGGGGGGAGCCUCUGCUGCCCUGGAGGCCUGUCCAGCCUGGUCUGUAGAGAAGGACUGUAAACGAGGCUCUGAUUCUGGAAGCCCCUUUCAUCCUCCCGUAAGAAAAAAAAAAAAAAAUUGGUCACCACCCUCUUCCUUCUUGGCCACUUUCUGACCAUCCCCUCACCCCACCCCGUUUCCUCCAGCCUGCACUUCCCCACGGAGCCUGUCAGGGGGUUGAUUCGAAUCUGAAAACCAUCUGGGACACCCCAGCCAUCUUUGCCCACCGCAGGCUGUUUCUGUAGGGGGUUGGGGACCUGUGUUCCUACUUAGGCCCAACUGACGCUGUUGUCUCUUGUAGAGCUCACCUCUGAUGAAGUGGGCAGGAUGGGCACGGGGAACGCUGGACUGAGGUCCCCGUUCACACGGCAGCCCCCCCACGGCGUGCUGGGUCUCAGGGUUCACCCUCACGCCUCCUGCCAUGGACAGAGGGUCCGUGUCCGCCGGCUUUUCAUGUCCCUUGCCUCUUAUGCAAGAGAGCAGAAAUUCUCUAUUUUCUGAAAGGGGAGAGCUGCCGGAAGCUUUGUUCCUUUUGGGCCCAUUUUAGAGACAGGGUAACCAAAGCCGUGACUGCCGGCGGGAAACAACCAGAGCUCAGUUCCUGCUUCCCGUUAGAGUCUUGAAUCUUUCCAGUUGUUCUUCAAGAGGGCUUCCAGAGCCGAGCAGCUCUCCCCCCAGCUUUCCUGACACCCCCAGCCCCGGUCUCCACCCCACCUGGUCCCGGCCUGGCCUCUGAGGAAGCCUGGAGCCGACUGUCUUGUUUUCACAUGCCGCUUGAGGCCCGUGACUGCCACUCAGUUUCUCAGGAGCUCAGUCUCUCUGCAAGGUGGGCGUCCGCGCCUCCCAUGUGAAGACACGGGCCAGAUGACCCUUCUCCCGGGUCUUCCUGCGUUCCCCAGCUCUUGGGACUGCCCUCCUCCACUUAUUCCUUUCCAUUCCGGUCCACGGCCCUCCCUGGGCAGAAAGCACUUGGGUGAGAGUUGGCUCUGGGUGCAGCAAAGGCUGGUCAUUCCUGGGUGUGCCAUGGGGCCAGUGAGGCUGGCCACCGGCCAGGCCAGGCACUGGAGAAAUUGUGCUGGUGGCCGCCCUACCCGCCACAGAGCGUUCAGGGCCCCCUGGGAUGUGGGCCAGUGUCGGGUGAGGGGACCCUCCACUCCACCUCGGCUCCCCUGGGCUGGGCGGGUUGACUGCCGACUUACCUGGAGAGAGUUCAAGGACAGCAAGAAAAAUGAGGGACUUUCAGGGGCAGCUGUGUUUUCUGACUCAGUCAUAAUGCCCCUAAAAAUCCUUAUUGUUCUUGCAGUGUGCAUCGGGCAAGCAGCUGCCAAGCCACCCCUUACCCACCUGGCCGCUCCGGGACAGGAAGGGCUUCCCGGGGUCAGAUUGGGAUGUCCUCCCCCAUCCUCUUGAGAGCGAAUCAUUAAAACAAUGCUGUUGGGCCGAUGCAUUGAUUUACAUAUAUUUUUCCUUUUUUUUUUUUUUUUUUGGUGGAGGAUUGGGGAGGGCUGGGCAUUGAGAUAGUCCUGCCCAGAUUGGAACUCAGAAGAAUAUAGGGUCUCCCCAGUUUGUGUGCAGUAAGGGUUCAGAGGACCCCAGCUGCAGGUGCAGGGCCCAAGGAGGGGUGUCUUAGGGGCGAGCAGCAGUGUGGGGCUUGUGGGAUGCCCACCUUUCCUGAGAAGUUAGAACUGUUUAGGGGCAGGAGGGGAGAAGGCACCUGGGCAGGAACUUGUACUGUGUUUUAUUUAUCUUGAGAGAGAGAGUACGUGUGCACCAGUUGGGGGGGGGGGGGUGCGGGCAGAGAGAGAGAGACUCCCAGGCAGGCUCUGUGCUGUCAGCUCAAAGCCUGACUCACGAACCGAACCAUGAGAUCAUGACCAGAGCCGAAAUCAAGAGGCAGACGCUUAACCGGCUGAGCCACCCAGGCGCCCCUGAGCUAUGCUUUAAAACCGAGGGAGCCUCAGCGAACUCCCUGGGAGCAUUACCUGGCCAUUUUGAAAAUACCCUCCCAGUGGAUUCAAGUCCUCCCCCCCCCCCCGCCCAACCAAUCCCUGCCUUGCCCCCGGAGCUUGCUUUUUCUUGGCUGGAUGUUCUCUAUCCCUGUUUCACCUCCGGCGGCUCCCCGCUUCUCAGCAGGUGGCCCUGUCCCCACCUUUACCAGCCCACCCCACAGGUAUUUUGGCUGAGCCGAGGCCUUGUCUUGGGUGGGUUUAGGGGUUGCAUGCUGGGGGAUGGUCAAGAAGAAAUACCAAUUUGUGACAUGUCCGGCUCAACCCAGGAAUGCCAAUUUGCAAAACUGUUACCAGAUCCCAAAGCACCAGAACCUUCCCCCCACAGCUAAGUCCUGCCCAUAGGUGGACAGGCAGCAAGCAGGACCCUCUUGUCCACCCCAGGACUCAUCAACCUCAUGCGUCAGCAAGGGAAAUGAACCCUCUAGGUAUUUCUUAGGUUUCUAGGUACAGACUUACAAGCCCUCAUCACUGGAGAAGAUGGCUGUUUGCAGGACCCUGACCACGUGAUCAUCCUUCCGGCCAGCCUUCCUCCUUCGGGCCCCUUACUCCCGGGCUCUGGUCAUCCCAGCCAUGCCUCCAUACCAGCUCUGCCAGAGACCGUUUUCAAAGGGCUGGGUCUGCUCAGGAGCGUCCGCAUUAAGAUCUGCCCAGGAGAAGGGACAACUUCAAGGAGGACACUUCCACAGAGAACCCUGGGAGAUGUCUGGCACAGAGAAGAUGCUCACUUAAUGUAGGUGCACUGCUCCAGAAGUGAGGUCUGGGUCUCAGUGUGUCGGAGGGUGCCUUCCGUCCUUAUCUCUACAAAGGUGACCUUUCCUUCCGCUUCCUCUCUGGCUGUCCUGCCCUGGCCGGACCCCAUAGGGAUCGUGGUUCUGGCUUGAGACGCUGCAUUCCUCUCUGGCCGGGCCCGCCGAGACCCAGAGCCCAGGGAGGACUCCUUCCCCUCCUCGAUGCUCGUCCUGCAAGUCCAGACGCCGUCAACUCCAAGGCGUUCCCUCUGGGCCCGGGCCAGAGUAGCUGCGGCCGAGCUCCUCCCUCCCCCCCGCCAGCCUCCUUGGGUGCAGACAGCCCAGCACAGGCAGGAAGGGCCUUCUGUUUGCCUUGGCUGGUGGGGAAGAGAUUAGUGCUCACUUUCUGUUUGGACUCUUGUAUCUAACUAACAGGCAGGCCCGUGACGUCGAAGCAAAGCACACUUGAGCCUUGAAUGAGUUUGGGCCCUGUUCCUGAGGCCCGGCCACUGCAGAGGUGUCUGGAGGUAGGAAGGGGUGAUAACACCACCCCUUGGGUAUAUGGAGAAAUGUAAUGGCCGUCUGUCAGCUGUCCCUACCCAGAGUCCACGGCCCUUACUUUGGGUAAUGCCUCCUCAGAAGACCACUUCUCCCCGACCUCGACUUUAGAGGCAAGCAUGGAUCCCCGGACACACACGGAGACUCCCCCUUGGUGGUUUUGCAGCAGCUACGGGGAAAGAGGCAUUUGCUUUUUUGUGGGAUUUGCCAGGCUGAUGGAACUGCUGGCGGCCAUCCUGUUCUCUGCUUGAGGUCAAAGCCAACAAAGAAGAAAAAGCUCAGAGAUGGAGAGAAUAUGCUGUGCAGAUAUCCAUAAGCCCCUGGAUUGAGCCAUGCCUGAAGCUAACUCUACUCCUGGAUUAACCCGAUUAUAUGAGCCAAUGCAUUUCUUCUGUGCUAAAAUUAUCCUAAGUGGGGUUUCUGUCAUAGAAAGGAGCCUAAUAAAACAGUGUUUUUCUUUGGUUUCAUUAAGAAAAAAAAAAAUCAACUCUGAGGUAUACUUUGCAUGCAAUAAAAUCUACCCAUUCGAAGUGCUCAAGUCCUAAAUUUUAUCAAAUGUGUACACCCUGGUAACUACCACUGCAGUCGAGAUGUAGAACAUUUCAAGUUCUCUUAUUCCCCUUUAUAGUCCUUUACCCUGAACAACCACUGACCUGCCUUUGUUGUAGAGAUUUUGCCUUUCUAGAACUUCAUAUAAAUAUUAUCAUUUAGUGUUUA